UAUAAUUUAACUUUUUAUGCUUAUCCCCCCUUAUGAUAUAUGCUUUCUUUGUCUUAAUUUCUUUGCUAUAGAUGGGCAGCCAGAUAUAUCAAGGCCUUUUGGAUCUCAGCCUUGGCAUAGCUGUCACAAACUCAUAUAUGUCAGACCAAAUCCUAAAACUGGGGUUCCUAUAGGUCAUUGGCCUGUUCCAGAGUCUUUUUGGCCAGAUCAAAAUUCGCCAACACUACCACCUCGUACAUCUCAUCCUGUAGUGAAGUUUUCCUGUACAGACUGUGAACCAAUGGUUAUUGAUAAACUUCCUUUUGACAAAUAUGAGUUGGAACCUUCACCACUGACUCAAUUUAUCCUGGAAAGGAAAUCUCCUCAAACAUGUUGGCAGGUGUACGUGAGCAAUAGUGCAAAAUACAGUGAACUUGGUCAUCCUUUUGGUUACUUGAAAGCCAGUACAGCACUGAACUGUGUCAACUUAUUUGUGAUGCCUUACAAUUAUCCAGUCCUUCUUCCCCUCUUAGAUGACUUGUUUAAAGUGCAUAAAGCAAAACCAACAUUGAAGUGGAGACAGUCAUUUGAAAGUUAUUUGAAGACAAUGCCUCCCUACUAUCUUGGGCCCUUGAAGAAAGCUGUUAGGAUGAUGGGAGCACCUAACCUAAUAGCAGACAGUAUGGAAUAUGGACUUAGUUACAGUGUCAUUUCAUACCUCAAAAAACUGAGUCAACAGGCCAAAAUAGAAUCUGAUCGAGUCAUUGGAUCUGUAGGCAAAAAAGUAGUACAGGAGACUGGAAUAAAAGUCCGGAGCCGAUCACAUGGUUUAUCAAUGGCAUAUAGGAAAGAUUUUCAACAACUUCUCCAGGGAAUUUCAGAGGAUGUCCCUCACAGACUGCUAGACCUUAAUAUGAAGGAAUACACUGGGUUCCAAGUUGCUUUGCUGAAUAAG
rnacentral:lncRNA from 1 species